AUUUACAAAAAAAUCACAGAUUUCGUUAAUUAGUUGGGUGCCUGAAAAGAAAAGAAAAAGUAUGUACUUUGAACUCCUAAUCAACAGAGAACUUAAUCAUCACUCAGACAAAAAAACAAAAUUUAAAUGUAGUAAAUGUUUUUUAAAUUUUUAAUCCUCAAAGAAAAAAUUGUUUUAUUAUAACACCUGAAUUUAUAUUAGUACAAUUUUGGAAAUUUCAAUAUAUAAAGUGAGUAAAGCACUUUAUUGAUAUGAUUGUGCUCUGUCCCUAUAUACUCACAAGCGUUCACAUGAUCGGAAAUAGAAUUUGGUACUAUCUCGAGGAAUGUUUUAUUUUUUUUGCCAGAGUUUUCCAGGGUGACAUAGAACAAUGUAGCCAAGCGGCAUUUCUGGUAAGUACAUUCCCUACCUCAGAUCAUCUAAUGUGAUCUGCCGUCAGGAAAGUAUCGAUUGAAAAUGCCUCUGGCCAUUAGUGCGGGCUUCGAUCUGCAAUUCUGGUGGAAGAAGAAAGAUAUCCCUUGAAAUAGAACCUAAAUUCAAGUUCAGAUCAUACAGUAUGUUCAAGUAAACCAAGUAAACGUCAUAUAUGUUCAUAAUAUAUGACCAAAGCCACGUCGUAGCAGGAAUAUCUGGUUGUAACAGCGACAUGGCAACACUGCUUCAAAUAUAAUUGGACUACUUUGGUGCGGACAGCUCUAGUACUUGUCUGCAUAUACCAUCCAAACAUGCUAUACAAUACAAAUAAAUUGCUUCACAUCAGGGUCACGGAGAGAACCAGUAGUUUCAUCAACAAGACAAUGUGCAGCUGUAAUCACAAACAAUACAUUUACACUUUUGUCAGUCAUAAAUUGAACCUUUAAUAAUUCAUAGUUAUAUCAAAUUCUAAUGCUGCCAUUUUUCCUUUUUAAUUUUGAAAUAAAGUUAAAUGAGUUAUACCCAAUUUUAAUUUCAAACAGAAAUUCACCAACAGUACAAUAAAAAAAAAGUUAAAUGUUCCUUAUUAUAAAAUUUGGUUAACCUACUUUAAACAAUAAUUAAACACAACAUUUGCACAUAUAAUGAUAUUGUACAUAAAUCAACAUUCAAUACAUAAAACAUUCUGAGAAUAUUACUAUUCAGCAAUUUACUGCAUGAGAGGACCCAGAUUCUUAGGUGAACUCAGAAGAAAGAAGAAUAAACAUGUACUCCGCUUACCGGAUUUUUGUGGCUGUACAAGCAGCUCUGGUCUCGUCUGAACCAUCCGAACACUCUUUGGAUCCAUCACACACACUGU